rnacentral:lncRNA from 1 species
UUCGAAACAGCCGUAAAGUGGGUGAACCCAAUCUGGUGUGAUUUUGUGCUCAAUGGGCCAACCUGUGACUUGGCCGAAAACCUUCGAUGGGAUAUUUGACGAGGUUGGCUCUGAUUUAAAGGAAUCCAUCGUGGGGUUGGGAAGAGGAGAAGAAGGAGCUUCUAUGGUGUUAAUUGUGGGUUGAUUGGCGUAUACGGCGUUUCCCAGCGGCGAGUUCUCCAGUGGAGUUGCAGAAGGAGAUACGAGGAGGAUGAAGUUGUCUCUAGGGUUUGGACAAUUUCGGACACUAGUAUGAAAAUUGAAG